CCUACGGGAGGCAGCAGUGAGGAAUAUUGGUCAAUGGCCGCAGGGCUGAACCAGCCAAGUCGCGUGAGGGAUGACGGUCCUAUGGAUUGUAAACCUCUUUUGUAAGGGAGCAAAGGUCGCCACGUGUGGCGCUUUGCGAGUACCUGAAGAAAAAGCAUCGGCUAACUCCGUGCCAGCAGCCGCGGUAAUACGGAGGAUGCGAGCGUUAUCUGGAUUUAUUGGGUUUAAAGGGUGCGCAGGCGGAAUGUCAAGUCAGCGGUAAAAUUUCGGGGCUCAACCCCGUCGUGCCGUUGAAACUGGGGUUCUUGAGUGAGCGAGAAGUAUGCGGAAUGCGUGGUGUAGCGGUGAAAUGCAUAGAUAUCACGCAGAACUCCGAUUGCGAAGGCAGCAUACCGGCGCUCAACUGACGCUCAUGCACGAAAGCGUGGGUAUCGAACAGGAUUAGAUACCCGGGUAGUC
rnacentral:rRNA from 1 species